UACGAAGGGGGCUAGCGUUGUUCGGAAUUACUGGGCGUAAAGCGCACGUAGGCGGAUAUUUAAGUCAGGGGUGAAAUCCCAGAGCUCAACUCUGGAACUGCCUUUGAUACUGGGUAUCUCGAGUAUGGAAGAGGUGAGUGGAAUUCCGAGUGUAGAGGUGAAAUUCGUAGAUAUUCGGAGGAACACCAGUGGCGAAGGCGGCUCACUGGUCCAUUACUGACGCUAAGGUGCGAAAGCGUGGGGACAA
rnacentral:rRNA from 1 species